rnacentral:rRNA from 1 species
AUGACUAUGAUCGCAUUGCACAUGAAAGGUUCAAGCAAAGGGAUCAAGAAGCUCCACCAAGGUGCACUCGUUAACUUGGAAGACGAUGAUGAUAGUGAUGAUGCACCAAAGGGGGGAAGAAACACGAACAAGCCCGAUGGAAGAAAGUUGGACAAGGAUAGGGUGAACAGGUUGGUCGAAGCAUCUAGCUUGAGGGAGCAAAUUAGUGAAAUGGUGAAGGUCAAGGAAACCAUGUUGGAGAAGCAUUUGGAAACCAAGGUGGCCUUGGCCGAGAAGAAGAACCAACAAAAGGAGGCAAAUUGGGAGAGGAGACGUGUCUUCGAGGAGCGCAAGAUCGCUCUUGAGGAGCAAAAGAUGAGUGGCGAGAAGACCGCCGAGGAGGACCAGUUCUUGAUUAUGAAUCUGAAUGGCAUGGAACCAAUGACAAGGGAGUUUGGGGAGUUGAAAAGAAUGGAGAUCAUGUUUCAGAGGAGGCAAGAGCUUCACUAUCUUAUGGCUGCUGGUGGUGGUUUCGGCAAUGGAGGUGGUGAUGGUGGUGGUGGUUUCGGCAAUGUUGGUGGCGGUGCUUUCAGCAAUGGAGGUGGUGGUGGUGCUUUUGGCAAUGGAGGUGGUGGUGGUGGCAGCAAUGGAGGUGGUGGUGGUGAUGCUUCAGCCAAUGGAGGUGGUGAUGCUUUGGCCGGUGGACUUGGUGGUGCUUCCGCCAAUGGUGGUGAUCAUUCUUCGACCAAUGUUGUUGACGAAGAUGGUGCUAUGGCCGGUGGUGGAGGAGAUGAUCUUGGCAACCAUGGUGUUGCUUGA